CGGUAACGACGGGUAACGGGGAAUCAGGGUUCGAUCCGGAGAGGGAGCCCGAGAAACGGCUACCACUUCCAAGGAAGGCAGCAGGCGCGCAACUUACCCUAAUCUCGAUUCGAGGAGGUAGUGACAAGAAAUACCGAUGCGGGGACCCUACGGGUGCCGCGUUCGGAAUGAGUACGAUUCGAACCACCUAACGAGGAACGAUCGGAGGGCAAGUCUGGUGCCAGCAGCCGCGGUAAUUCCAGCUCCAAUAGCGUACGUUAAAAGUUGCUGCAGUUAAAAAGCUCGUAGUUGAACGUUCGGGUUCCGCGGGACGGGGCCGCCCCGCGAGGGACGGCGCCGCCCCGGGGCUCGUGAUAUCUCAUCUCGCCGCCCGUCGCGAGGCGGACGGAGGGAUGGAUGAGGUUACCUGGAAAAAAUCGGG
rnacentral:rRNA from 1 species